CCAUGAAAUGUCUCUCUCUGAAUCCAUGUGGAACAGGAAGUGACGAUUCUUUUGACCAAUCCAAAGACUGCAGUGCCUGUUAUAUUGAUAUUUGUUCCCUGUUUUAUAGAUUUUAAAUGUAGCUGUCACAGAAAAUUAUAUUUCUUUGAACAGGAUUUUGUUAUAAUUACAGAGAAAAUGUUUUAUUUUGAAAUGUGUUCAGAUUCUAUGCUCUGUUACUGACACCUACUGGUCUAAUUGUGUAUUGCGCUGAGUGUUCAGCAUGCAGUGUUCACAUGUUUAAUUGAAGCAAUAAAACGUGCUGCCAGAAGCUAGUACCAACGGUAGGACACAGAUGAAGGAGACGCGUCUGAAGAACUUUAAAAGACUGCAAAGCCUAAACAUGUGUGGUUAGAAGGUGCACACGUUUUUCACGGUGUUUGCUGACAAAAGGAAAAGAAUAAAUAUUGGUGAAACAUCAGUUGGAGCGUGGCUGAUCUGUACCAGAUGAAGAAACUUUGGGAGCAGUUAUAUUAAAUAUUUUUUAAGUGAAUAGAAUCCUUUUUAUUGUUUUAAUAUCUUCACUUUUGUUUUAAUUUCAGGUCUAAGUCAGUAGUCUGAACCUUUAUUCAUGAUACAGGAGUCACCCUGCUGAUGGAGGGAUGAACAUUUUAAAAGAAAGACUCUGUUGUUACCAGUUACAGUGUAAUGUCGCCCCCUAGAGGCUGCAGAGUGCAUCACAUGUCUAAUCUUCCUGGUACGAGGAGUGGCCUUUUUGUCUUUGAGUAUAAAUGAGUUUUAACCUCAAAUGAAAAGUGAAUCUUUGUUUAUCUGAUGAUGAAGACAGAGGUUAGUUUGACCUCUUCACCAACUCUUCAGGCGGUGCUGGGAUCAGGAAGCUUUCAGAGAUGUGAGGAGCAGGAGGCAGGACUUUUCCUACGAUAUUCUCAGCAGAAGAUCAGCGUCAAACUGUCACAUCACGCCAUGGCACGUUUUUUUAUAGACUCUCAUUUUGGAGCAGACGAGGUGCAGGUGAAGCAGAGACAUGCAGCUUUGUUUUGGUGCGUUUGCUUGUUCAAACUUUGUUUCAGCAGGAGGACUCAGGAGACAUUUGGAGGAGCAGAGGUGAGGCGUCAUGAGUGACAACUGACAACCAGCUACCAGAGGAAGCAACCAAAGGCUGAAACAAACUCAGGCAACUCACAGGAAACAGUUACUUUAUCUUCAGUGUCAUCGUUUAUCGUUUCUGAGAGCAGAGAGUCGUCUGAACUUUACCAGUUUGUUUUUGAGAGAGAGAGAGAGAGAGAGAGAGAGAGAGAGGAGCAGCAACCACCUAACAUUUGUUUUUAACAAGAAGCAUCUUUCUUCUGCUGUCAUCUCCGAUGCUUUCACUGUGCAGCACCAUGACCUUCAUUUAACCUUCAUUUAACCGUCACCAGGUGUUGUUUUAGGAUCUUUAUCAGACCUGUCGAUCAGGAGAAGAGAGAGGAACUCAAAAACAGACUCUUUAUUUCAUUAUCACAUGGAUCAGGACUGUACAGAGACUUUAGAGUCGGUGACUGGAGCCAGUCCACAGUUUUUUAACCCUUAAUGUGUCCUUUUAUCAAACCUGUCGAUGUGUUGUUGUUUUUUUAUCAUUCCUUCUUUACCUCAGACUGAAACUCAACCAAAGCCCUAACCCUGACAGAGGGAGAUGGUGAAACGUGUCAGUGCUCAUCACCUGCUGCAGCAGUGUGGAGACGUGUGUUCAUACACAAUACACGUGACAGAUUAUCAGCUUUAAGCGUCUUUAUAUCACAGCUGGUGAUCGGUGUUUCUCUUUUUCUUAUUGAAGCACUGAGUCUUACUUUGGUCUGUUUUCCAGAGCUGUCUUUAUAUUUGCAUGUAUACCAGCAGUAGUAGAAGUGACUAUGAUAAUGAAGUUGGAGUUGUGAUCAGAGUCGUUUCAGACUGAGCUCGCAGGUCGACCCCGUCACCUUGAAUCUGUGUGUCAGACGUUCACAUCACAGACACUCUUCAUCCUUUAAAUAUCCUUUAAGUGUUCAAGCUGUAACUAGAAUUCUCAUAUAAAUGUCAUGCUGUUCAGUCUCAGGUCGUCUCAUUAACAGUGUGUUUAAACAUCCCACCACCAGGGGGCAGCAGAGCCUGAAGAGAGAGUAUCAGAGAGCAGUGAUGGGGUUUCUCUCUCAGUCCCAGGCGGUCGCUUCCUGCUGUGAACGCUCUCUACUCAUAGAAAACAGCUGGAGAAAAGAUGCUGGUGCUCAGAAGAAGACGUCAGGUGGACACGGGGCCUUACACAGAGGUCGUUUAUACUCGGCUGGACGGGUCAUUCAAAAAAACAUUUUGGGGAAAAUGAAGAGCAUCCUCACUUCUUCAGCCACCACUACACUACUGACCUUUAGCAUAACUAUAUGAUGCUAUGUCAACAUUUGAGCUUUGGUCGUCAUGGCAACAUGGCCACCUUGGGGAUGUGGUUUAUUCAGGUUUGAUUAUUGUUUAAGUGGCACGCUACGGACUCCGUACAAAAGCUCAUUAUCAUCAUUAUCUUCUCAGAAGAACAACACAGAACAACAUCUUUUAUUUUAAAGGUGUGACGUCAUCAUGAUUACGUCAUCUUUCUUCUCACUUACAAAACGUUAUCUUAACUUUAAAGUUGAAUAAAGUGAAACUGCUUCAACUG